rnacentral:rRNA from 1 species
UUACCUACGGGAGGCAGCAGUGAGGAAUAUUGGUCAAUGGCCGAGAGGCUGAACCAGCCAAGUCGCGUGAGGGAAGACGGCCCUACGGGUUGUAAACCUCUUUUGUCGGGGAGCAAAGCGAGUCACGUGUGACUCAUUGAGAGUACCCGAAGAAAAAGCAUCGGCUAACUCCGUGCCAGCAGCCGCGGUAAUACGGAGGAUGCGAGCGUUAUCCGGAUUUAUUGGGUUUAAAGGGUGCGCAGGCGGAGGUGCAAGUCAGCGGUCAAAUUGCGGGGCUCAACCCCGUACUGACGUUUAAAAUACAU